rnacentral:rRNA from 1 species
UACGUAGGGGGCUAGCGUUGUCCGGAUGUAUUGGGCGUAAAGAGCGUGUAGGCGGCCAGGUAGGUCUGAUGUGAAAACUCGAGGCUCAACCUCGAGACGUCGGCGGAAACCAUCUGGCUAGAGUCCGGAAGAGGAGAGUGGAAUUCCUGGUGUAGCGGUGAAAUGCGCAGAUAUCAGGAAGAACACCCGUGGCGAAGGCGGCUCUCUGGGACGGUACUGACGCUGAGACGCGAAAGCGUGGGGAGCGAACAGG